rnacentral:rRNA from 1 species
CCUACGGGUGGCAGCAGUGAGGAAUAUUGGUCAAUGGCCGGAAGGCUGACCCAGCCACGUCGCGUGAGGGACUCAGGCCCUAUGGGUCGUAACCCUCUUUUGUCAGGGAGCACAUGCGUCCACGUGUGGACGAGAGUAGAGUACCUGCAUAAAAAGCAUCGGCUAACUCCGUGCCAGCAGCCGCGGUCAUCCGUAGGAUGCGAGCGUUAUCCGGAUUUAUUGAGUUUAACGGGUGCGUAGGCGGAGUGUCAAGUCAGAGGUAAACUUUCGGGGCCCAACCCCGUCGUGCCGUUGAAACUGACGCCCGUGAGUGAGUGAGAAGUAAGCGGAAUGCGGGGUGUAGCGGUGAAAUGCAUAGAUAUCACGCAGAACGCCGAUUGCGAAGGCAGCUUACCGCCGCUCAACUGACGCUGAGGCACGAAAGUGCGGGUAUCGAACAGGAUUAGAGACCCGUGUAGUC